UGGAGAUCGAGGACCUGGUCACGGUCCGCGAUGUCACCGCCGUCGCCCAGCGCCUGGAGAUGGUCCGCCGGAUCGCCACCGAGAUCGCCGA
rnacentral:tRNA from 1 species